UUCAGAGUUCCUCCGGCAGCUGUUAUUUUUCUUCAAUGCACAAAAUAGUGAUGAUUUCACUAUCCUUGUGGAGACUUGCCGAUUGCUUCUGCAAAAUGUUCGAGAUAGUGGUAUUUCCAUAACUGUAAAACUUCUAAAAUGGAAACCUUACAUGUAUGUUUAUUUAUUUAUUUUCUAAAAAACACAAUGUCAAACCUUACAUGUAUGUUUAUUUAUUUAUUUUCUAAAAAACACAAUGUCAUCAACAAGGGAAGCUUGUCCAAUCAUAAGAUAUCCUCGUGUACAAAUUCAAACUUGUUUGAGUUGUACUUUCUCUAUGUAAGAAUGUCUCUGGAUUUGGCAUUUGUUGCAUUUCGAUUCUUGACAUGCUGAUUAUAUUUUGCUA
rnacentral:lncRNA from 1 species